UAGUCUACACUACCUGCAUCCCCUUUGG
rnacentral:piRNA from 1 species